UUGACCCCUAUCGUCACUUCGGCUUAAUCAAGGGCUGAAAGGUGACGUCACCCGCACAGAAGAAGGUUAUUUCCUUGAAAGAUUUUCGACAUAGAACAUGAUGCUGCUUCACAUCCUCUUUUAAAGACUCAAGAAUUACAAGACCAAAUUAAGCUGCAGGACCCUCCUGAUUCAAAAAGACAUGGAACAUGACUCUGCUUCACAUCCUUUGUUUUAGAGACUCAAGAAAUACAAGACCAAAUUAAGGGUUUGUUUUUUUAAUUCCAAUAAUAAUUUUCUGGUGGAAGAAUUAGGGAAUAAUGCAUUGACAAUAUACCAAACAUCCUAUAUCAAACUGAAUUACUGCAUGUAUUUACAAUAGAGUAUUGUAACCGCUUCCCCCUCACCACUGACCAAACAAAACCCACAAACAAUUUAAGAGGGAUAGGGUUAUUUUAGGGGUAAUUAUCCUUGCUGAUUGUAGCAGUAGUUUUUACAAAUAUGGAUGUAGAUAAUGAUGAAUAAAUGUGAUAA